AGUGAACGCUGGCGGUAGGCCUAACACAUGCAAGUCGAACGGCAGCACAGUAAGAGCUUGCUCUUACGGGUGGCGAGUGGCGGACGGGUGAGGAAUACAUCGGAAUCUACUUUUUCGUGGGGGAUAACGUAGGGAAACUUACGCUAAUACCGCAUACGACCUACGGGUGAAAGCAGGGGAUCUUCGGACCUUGCGCGAUUGAAUGAGCCGAUGUCGGAUUAGCUAGUUGGCGGGGUAAAGGCCCACCAAGGCGACGAUCCGUAGCUGGUCUGAGAGGAUGAUCAGCCACACUGGAACUGAGACACGGUCCAGACUCCUACGGGAGGCAGCAGUGGGGAAUAUUGGACAAAGGGCGCAAGCCUGAUCCAGCCAUACCGCGUGGGUGAAGAAGGCCUUCGGGUUGUAAAGCCCUUUUGUUGGGGAAGAAAAGCAGCAGGUUAAUACCCCGCUGUUCUGGCGGUACCCAAAGAAUAAGCACCGGCUAACUUCGUG
rnacentral:rRNA from 1 species